ensembl:lncRNA
UCUCUUCCAGCACGUGAUCCACCAUGGCUCAUUGACUUCUCCUGAUGGGAGCUUUCGGAAUCUCCAGCAGAGGGAGGCCCUGUUGCUUCAUCAGGCCGACUUAUUCAUAUUCUCAACUGCCUUGGCCUAGCCAGUAGGGCUUAAUGGUGACCCACCAUCCUCUGUUCUUCAUGACAAAUCCUGGUCAUCUCAUUCAACACAUCCCUUCCUUCUCUUACGUUGAGGGAUGGGGAAGUUAACCAAGCCAGGUUGGGAAGUGAGUGGACAGGUACAAGGGACAGUGCAACCCACAUUGCCCACCAUGAACUCGGUACGAUCUGACCCUUAAGCUGAAAAAUGUAUGCCCAGCACCACCACACCACCAGCUGGAAGCCGU